UACAGAGACUGCAAGCGUUAUUCGGAUUCACUGGGCGUAAAGGGUGCGCAGGCGGCUGGGUGUGUCAGAUGUGAAAUCCCGAGGCUCAACCUCGGAACUGCCUUUGAUACUAUUGGUCUUGAAUGUUGUUGAGGUGGGCGGAACGGGUCAUGUAGCGGUGAAAUGCAUAGAUAUUGGGAAGAACACCGGUGGCGAAGGCGGCGCUCUGGACCGAGACUGACGCUGAGGCGCGAAGGCGUGGGGAGCAAACAGG
rnacentral:rRNA from 1 species